rnacentral:rRNA from 1 species
UACGGAGGAUCCGAGCGUUAUCCGGAUUUAUUGGGUGUAAAGGGAGCGUAGACGGAGCAGCAAGUCUGAUGUGAAAACUGGGGGCUCAACCUCCAGCCUGCAUUUGAAACUGUAGUUCUUGAGUGCUGGAGAGGCAAUCGGAAUUCCGUGUGUAGCGGUGAAAUGCGUAGAUAUGUGGAAGAACACCGAUGGCGAAGGCAGCCUCCUGGGACAUAACUGACGCUCAGGCACGAAAGCGUGGGGAGCAAACAGG